CCAAACCCGAUGGCAAUAAACACGGAAAGGAUGGUUCGCAUGCUGACGGCAACGAUCCAUUACGCGAUCGACCAAGCGAGUCAUGUUGUGUGAUUAUGUAAAUACUGGCGACGUCUUUUGCAUCAAGUCACGUUCUCAGACUGGAAAUACUGCAUACAAUCCCUUUCUUUUGCCACUUGACAAUACUUCAUCUCGAUCAAGCCACGCCGCAUUUUCGAAUCAACGGAUCUCCAUCAAAAGUUCAGCCUAAUGAAGCGCGGUCUUGUACUGGCAACCUCUUAGGAAACAGGACACUUUACCAAGAUGUCAUGACGGAUGCAUAGGAAUGACUGCUCUAUAAAAUUCAACCAACUAGAUGACACUAAACAACGGAAUUCCACCUAACGGAACUCAAACUUUCGGCUAAGCUCGGAGGAUUUUGUUCUCGAAAGUCUCUGCUAUCUCAAAGAGGUCCAAUGUCAUACAACCAACUGUUAAGAUGUUCUGAUGAGUUUGUAAGAUAGCAAUCGUUAUUAAUCUUAAAAAUUCUUUCAACCCCAAAGCAGACUGAUGAUUUCGCUAAAGGUCUUGGUGUAACUGUAGGCAAUGGCAUAAUGUAACUAGAUAUAUAAACACUGUGACCAUGUAAAAGACUUAUAUGACGUCAUGAUUCAUGUUUUUAACAGAUAAUAUAACCAGUAACAAAAACAAUCACUAUUUACAGCGCAUUAGGUUCAGAUUUCAAACUGCAAAAUAAAUGCCAUUUUAACACAAUAGAAAAUCUUUAAAACAUAAGAUGUAGUAACAAAAUCUUCUCUUCAAAUGAAAAAACCCAACAAUUGUGAGAUAAAUGUCAGAAUCUGAUCCGGUUUGAUACUGAGCAGGGCCCGUAUUAACCAUGAUGGCUAUCUAUCUAUAUGAUAGAAGGCCUACUUUAUACUCACCUUCAUUUAACUGACUCCAAUAUUCCGUACCAAUGGAAGUUUGACAAACUUUCACAUGUCCUCAUUGAUCUUGUUAUGCGUAUUUAUAGCCUUUCACCUCUGUCAACGCAACUGUUGAAGUGUUCUGUCUGCCCCAGGGUGUAGAAUUUGCAACAGAUCGAAUGCAUUUGUUUAAAUCUUAACGUGUGUUCGUGGUUUCACGGUAAAUGGUUUAAUUGAUUGUUUGCUUUACCUAAAUUUAAUUAAAAACAUAAGGAUGAUGGCUAGGAAACAUUGAUAUAAUUGUAUAAUUUCAUCCUUCUCAACUGAAUUCAUUUCACCUCCUCUUUCUUUAAUGGGGGAUUUGAUAUUGAAACAUUACACCAAAACGCUAAAGCAAAAAAGCUUUUUUUAAUCUGCAGUCUUCACAACUUGCAGGCAAAGUGAAUAACUGAAUGAUGAAAACUGAGUUUGACUAAUGAUAUGUCAGCAUUUGAAGAGUUUCAUUGCUGAAAGCAAUAUAUCCAUUUUAUUAAUUUUGAGAUGAUGCAUGAAUAUUGUCUGCUAAAAUAAAGAGAAUAAUAAGAAAAUAUGAUAUACAAUUUAUCAUAUCUUCAAAAAUACAUAUCGGACUUUGGCAGACAAGGUGUCAAUUAUCAGAUAUUUUUAUGAACAAAAUGUUGGUCAUCUUAAUUAACUCAUAUUUUAGAAAAAUGAUAGAUAUAGCGGUGUUUUUCCAUGAAAUUCUUCAUUGAUUUUUUAAAAGUAUGCAGUGCUUUGUAGCCUAUGUACACAGGCACACUUAGGAGAGAAGCAAACUAACACUUCUGGGAAAAAGGUAGCGCUGGUCUAUAUACAAUUUACGUGUGAGUGCUUCAACAUACUUGUCCUAGUGAUAUAGCAUAAUUGUUUAUUGUUAUUUUAGAAGCUCAGUAGACUGGAGUGAAUGACAUACAUGCGUAGUUACUAUCCUUCGAGUGAUAUAAAAAUAAUAGAGAAGUCACAUGUUUCUACAAAACUGAGCAUGGUAAAACAUUCCAGGGUAGAUCAGUUUGAGAGAGUUUAAAACCGAAUAAACUGGCACAACGAUGUUUCGGCUGA
rnacentral:lncRNA from 1 species